rnacentral:lncRNA from 1 species
CGGCCGCGUUCACCUGUCCUGGUUUGUAUCCUUGAAAUCUUAAUCUCCAUCUUUCAAUGCGUGCUGGUAUUUUGACCCUUGGACUGUUGCAUAUAGUUGAAAGCGAUUGGUGGUUGGAUACCAAUGUAAAUGUAAAAUGUCCAAUUGCCCAUACAAUUGGCAAUGCUUUCUUUUCUAUGUGCGAAAAGCGUGUUUCAACGUCUGUCAACGAUCGGCUUGCGUAUGCUUUUUUUCCCCAUUUUGUGUUAAUAAUUCUGCUAAUCCAACGGGACUUAUGAAAUAUGAUGGUCUCUUCAAAUUAUAUAAUAAGUCAACAUGACCAAAAUUGUCAUUUGACCCCUUAAGGAGUAAUUGCCCUUUAAAGACUUAUUUCACAAUUUGUUCAUCGUGUUGACUUACUUUAAAAAAUCUUCUCCUUUGAAACUGCUG